rnacentral:rRNA from 1 species
GACGAGCCACACAAACGUUAUUCGGAAUUACUGGGCUUAAAGGGUGCGUAGGCGGCGCGGAAAGUUGGGUGUGAAAGCCCUCGGCUCAACCGAGGAAUUGCGCCCAAAACUACCGUGCUUGAGGAAGAUAGAGGUGAGCGGAACUCAGGGUGGAGCGGUGAAAUGCGUUGAUAUCCGGAGGAACACCGAUGGCGAAGGCAAUCCCCUGGGCCUGUACUGACGCUCAUGCACGAAAGCGUGGGGAGCAAACAGG